rfam:Eutrema salsugineum unplaced genomic scaffold scaffold_8, whole genome shotgun sequence.
AAUCCAUGAUGGGAACAUUGGUUUGUGUAGCUUCUAAACCUCUCCCAGCUUCCCCAAUGCUUUCAUUGUUGUGCUGGGUAAAGCUUAAUAUCUGGUUCCUCAACUU